CUCGCAAUAAAACCAACUUUAAUCACAUGUCAUCCUGGCCAGCGGCCACUAGUCUUGGGGUGGAUGGAGCCCUUGGGGACUAUGGUAGGGCGUCCCGUAGCCCGCCAGCGACACCGCAGAUCCCUUAGGGAUUGCACUAAACCCUUGCCCCUCACUCUGCACCCAGCUUCUGCCCACCCACACCCACCUUGCCUUAACCGCCAGCCCGUCCCUAGGGGGCCGCAGCCACAGCAUGGGCCCAGCGCCGGGACAUCCCCAGCCCCCUAAAGGCCCUCCCCAAACCCCCCCCAUAUACUGCAAUCACAUACUGUAUAUAGAAUGUGGAUCGAUUUUUACAAAUUUUUAUUCUUUAAAUUAAGGCCGUGAUAAAAGUUGCCAAAGAGAAUUGUGGAAUUCACUAGAGGUUUGAGCAGAGGGUGCUAUAGAAAGGUUUUAUUUGGUUGUUUGGGGUGUGUGUGUGUGUGUGUGUGUGUGUGUGUGUGUGUGUGUGUCCCCUUUUUUUUUUUUUUUAAACUGCCUGGUACCAAUAACAAAAAGAAAAAGAAGAGAAAUUUGUUACUUCCAUUAUGGUGAAUUUGCGUGUGUGUGAGUGUGUGAGACAGAAGGGCCCAGGCUGUGGGGUUCUGGGGACCCCAGUGCUGGGGAGGUGACCAGCCUGCAGCUGGCACCAGCCUGUGACCUGAACAAGGCCACCCCUGCUGAGUAGUUGCUGCUCUUUGCCUUCCUGUCCCUACAGGCCUUUGGAGAUUAAGAAAAAAAAAAAAAAAAAGGCAAAAAAAUAAAAAAAUAUAAAAAUAAAAAUAAAAAGCAAAACCCUAUAUAUCUACAGAAACCAAUGAAUGUAAACGGCAGAGCAGGCCCCGCCAUGCUGGGCUCCAGUGGUAGAACCAAAGUGGGUGCCCUGGGGUGCUCAUUUAGGAGGACCCCCGAGUGGCCACCACCCUGUCACCCUUUUGAGCACAGCUGACCCGAGGGUGCUCUGGUGGGUCCCCUUGGGUAGCCAGGGAAUGCUGCCGCUGUGGCAGGCACAAUGGCAGCCUGGAAGUCCAGGCGGAAACUGGGCUGGUCGUUCAGGGGAAGGCAGUGUGAGUAGCAGGGUGUGUAGGAGGGACACAGGCUGAAAGGAAAAAUAGAAAAAAACAAAAAAACCACAAAAACCAACAAAAAAAGAAAAAGCAAAAUCCUAUUUUUUGAGAAAGAAAGAUAUUUAUAUUUGCAGUUUUAUUUUAAAAAGUUAUUUAAGCUGAGGAAACAGCCUUCCCGGAGGUGGGGGUGGCUGGCACCGGACGGGUCAGGGGUCUUGGGGGGCUCCUCACCCCAGAAAUGAUUAUCUCAGUUCAGAACUAGCUCGCACUAAAUAUAUACUGAUUUACCUUUGUGGGGGGGCAGGGAGGCCAAGAGACAGAGGGCCAGGGGAAUCCCACCCCAAGCCCAGAACGAGGUGCCUUGGAAUUUGGGGCCCCAGGCCUGGUGCAUGGGGGUCCAGAGCACAGAACAGACAUUCCACUGACCGGAUGUAAGAAUCUUUAUAAAAAGUGUGGGAGGCAGAACGAAAACAAAUCAACUGAUUAAAGAAAAAUGCACUUUUUGGGGGUGGGGGGACAAGCUUUAAAAGUAAUUAAAAAACAACAAAAGAUUAUGAAAAAUCCGAAAAAAUAGAAUUCAUUUUUCUUGUACAUAAAAGAGAAAAACCCAACCACUAAAUGCAGCCUGUUACGAU
rnacentral:lncRNA from 1 species